GAUGAACGCUGACAGAAUGCUUAACACAUGCAAGUCUUUGGCGAAGCUGUGCUUGCACAGCCUAGCCAAGGCGGUCGGGUGAGUAACGCGUAAGGAACUUGCCCUGCAGUCAGGGAUAACAGACGGAAACGACUGAUAAGACCUGGUAAAGUCAGGCGGACUCAUGUCCAGCCUGAUGAAAAGAGAUGCUGCAGGAGAGCCUUGCGUCCUAUUAGCUUGUUGGUGGGGUAACGGCCCACCAAGGCGAUGAUAGGUAGCCGGCCUGAGAGGGUGGACGGCCACAAGGGGACUGAGAUACGGCCCUUACUCCUACGGGAGGCAGCAGUGGGGAAUAUUGGACAAUGGGGGCAACCCUGAUCCAGCAAUUCUGUGUGCACGAUGAAGGUUUUCGGAUUGUAAAGUGCUUUCAGCAGGGAAGAAAAAAAUGACGGUACCUGCAGAAGAAGCGACGGCUAAAUACGUG
rnacentral:rRNA from 1 species